UGCAAUGCAAUGCAAGGCGAUUUGCGGUGUCUGAGUUAGUAAAUGCUUGUUUGAGUUUGCUUGACUGUGAUUCAAGACUAAGUUGUUGCAUACUGUGUUUUUGUAGUGUUUUUUAAGCUCAAUCAAUUGGGAGAUUAUUGGAUGUUUGCUUUCAUGUGUAAUUUUGUUCUUUAUUUUUAGGGCUCAAUGUUUUUUCUUAUCCUUUGGGGAUGAUAAGCUAGUGAGG
rnacentral:lncRNA from 1 species